GUGUGCCUGUGUGUGAAUAGUGUUUCUAAAAAGUAUUUAAAUUAUUCAAAUGAAGUGCUACCUCAAUUAAAUGCACAAAUUAGGCGGUUCAAAGGAAUUCGACAUGCAGAAUUCAUGCUGAAUUGUUGUUGUUUACAGGA
rnacentral:snoRNA from 1 species